AAGUAGCUUCUACAUUCUUAAAACUAUAACUGACGGGAAUUUCUUCCAACUUUGCUCAAAUGUCCACUUGAACUCAAGGAUGAACUGGUAGUCAAAGCUCACCUUUUCCUCACAAAACACAUUUUCAGCCACAAGUACAGAAUAUAUAUGUGAAUUGUGACAAUUUCACACAAAUGUCUCAAAGGAUGUAAACUGCAACGGGUAUAUUUUAGUUUUCUAAAUGCUGUUGUGUUGAAUUGACUUUCUGCUGUGCAAGUGGUAGAAUUUGUAUUCCAUGUCCAAGCCAAGCCAAGUCCACAACUUUGACUUGGCUUGUGUGUGUUUGCCAUUGAAAAUAAGUAGUAUUCAUGGUGCUCGCUGAUGCUGCAAGUCAAAAGGAUUUAACAUCUGUCGGUCCAGGUGUUUCUGCUGGGACGGGAACUCUGUGCUGUGUGGGGGACAGUCUGGAGACCUCCUGCUGUGGGACCUGCUCAGCAAUACAGUCACCCGAAGGAUCCCUGCGCAUUCGGGCACUGUCACAGCCAUGUGGAUGAGUGAGCUGUGCUCCACAGUGAUCACAGGCGGAGAGGACAGACAGAUAAUCCUCUGGAAGCUCCAGAGUUAGAGGACCGUUUAUGCACAUCACAUGUGUUGGGGAGACUCCCAGUGCAACAUACUGGACAGUACUGGCCAAGACUCAUUAAACAGUUGCAAGGAGCCCACUCUGUAAAUGUACAGUAUUACAGAGCAGUCGGAGGGAGAUGACGAUUUAAAAAAUGUUUGAAAUCCAGACAAAAGGUCACAUACAGUCAUGUUAGUUCGUAGCUGUCUGCAUAUUGAGAGAAAAUGUCCAAUUGCAGUUUUGUGCGUGAGAGCAGGAAGCUAAAACCGUGUACACGCCUUAUUUUUUCAGCUUAUUCUACAUACGUGUGGAUUUCUUUUCAAAUGUAUUUGUUGUGCAUCAUUUUAGUUUUUUUUAAAUUAUGUUUCUAUAGCUUUAUGUGCAUUUUAUUUUUUGAAGUGGACUUAAAAUAUCUGUCACAAGCUUCAGGCUGCUCUGGUGUUGUAAUUUAAAUAACACUGAUCUUUAAAAGUAUUGUUUCCUGUCUCCUGUUUGUUACUAUUUCUUUGGCCUCACAGAUUUCUAGAGAACUUGUUAUUCUGAGCUUUGCAGGUUGCAACCAGUAUCGUAUUGUCCACAAAAACAUAAACCAUUUUUAUGUCACAA